UUAAUACUCCCUUCGUCCCAUAAUUCUUGUCGAAAUAUUACAUGUAUCUAGACGCUUUUUACGAAUAGAUACAUCCAUUUUUAGGCAAAUUUGAGACAAGAAUUAUGAGACGGGGGAGUAGUUU
rnacentral:pre_miRNA from 1 species